rnacentral:rRNA from 1 species
CCCCUAGAUGUUCUGGGCCGCACGCGCGCUACACUGAACAGUUCAACAAGUCUUAACCUUGGCCGAUAGGUUUGGGUAAUCUUUGAACGCUGUUCGUGAUUGGGAUAGACCUUUGCAAUUAUGGGUCUUCAACGAGGAAUUCCUAGUAAACGCAAGUCAUCAGCUUGCAUUGAUUACGUCCCUGCCCUUUGUACACACCGCCCGUCGCACCUACCGAUUGAAUGGUCCGGUGAAAUCUCGGGACGGCGGCUUGGUCGCUUGCGUCCGACUGCUGAAACUUGAUUAAACCAUAUCAUUUAGAGGAAGGUGAAGUCGUANCA